rnacentral:lncRNA from 8 species
AUGGAGAACUGUGGGGUAAUAGAAUGUUCUGUCUAUAUGGAGAACUGUGGGGUAAUAGAAUGUCCUGUCUAUAUGGAGAACUGUGGGGUAAUAGAAUGUCCUGUCUAUAUGGAGAACUGUGGGGUAAUAGAAUGUCCUGUCUAUAUGGAGAACUGUGGGGUAAUAGAAUGUCCUGUCUGUAUGGAGAACUGUGGGGUAAUAGAAUGUCCUGUCUAUAUGGAGAACUGUGGGGUAAUAGAAUGUCCCGUCUGUAUGGAGAACUGUGGGGUAAUAGAAUGUCCUGUCUAUAUGGAGAACUGUGGGGUAAUAGAAUGUCCUGUCUAUAUGGAGAACUGUGGGGUAAUAGAAUGUCCUGUCUAUAUGGAGAACUGUGGGGUAAUAGAAUGGCCUGUCUAUAUGGAGAACUGUGGGGUAAUAGAAUGUCCUGUCUAUAUGGAGAACUGUGGGGUAAUAGAAUGUCCUGUCUAUAUGGAGAACUGUGGGGUAAUAGAAUGUCCUGUCUAUAUGGAGAACUGUGGGGUAAUUGAAUGUCCCGUCUAUAUGGAGAACUGUGGGGUAAUAGAAUGUCCUGUCUAUAUGGAGAACUGUGGGGUAAUAGAAUGUCCUGUCUAUAUGGAGAACUGUGGGGUAAUAGAAUGUCCUGUCUAUAUGGAGAACUGUGGGGUAAUAGAAUGUCCUGUCUAUAUGGAGAACUGUGGGGUAAUAGAAUGUCCCGUGUAUAUGGAGAACUGUGGGGUAAUAGAAUGUCCUGUCUAUAUGGAGAACUGUGGGGUAAUAGAAUGUCCUGUCUAUAUGGAGAACUGUGGGGUAAUAGAAUGUCCUGUCUAUAUGGAGAACUGUGGGGUAAUAGAAUGUUCUGUCUAUAUGGAGAACUGUGGGGUAAUAGAAUGUCCUGUCUGUAUGGAGAACUGUGGGGUAAUAGAAUGUCCGUAUAUGGAGAACUGUGGGGUAAUAGAAUGUUCUGUCUAUAUGGAGAACUGUGGGGUAAUAGAAUGUCCUGUCUAUAUGGAGAACUGUGGGGUAAUAGAAUGUUCUGUCUAUAUGGAGAACUGUGGGGUAAUAGAAUGUCCCGUGUAUAUGGAGAACUGUGGGGUAAUAGAAUGUCCUGUCUAUAUGGAGAACUGUGGGGUAAUAGAAUGUCCUGUCUAUAUGGAGAACUGUGGGGUAAUAGAAUGUCCUGUCUAUAUGGAGAACUGUGGGGUAAUAGAAUGUUCUGUCUAUAUGGAGAACUGUGGGGUAAUAGAAUGUCCUGUCUGUAUGGAGAACUGUGGGGUAAUAGAAUGUCUAUAUGGAGAACUGUGGGGUAAUAGAAUGUUCUGUCUAUAUGGAGAACUGUGGGGUAAUAGAAUGUCCUGUCUAUAUGGAGAACUGUGGGGUAAUAGAAUGUCCCGUCUAUAUGGAGAACUGUGGGGCAAUAGAAUGUUCUGUCUAUAUGGAGAACUGUGGGGUAAUAGAAUGUCCUGUCUGUAUGGAGAACUGUGGGGUAAUAGAAUGUCUAUAUGGAGAACUGUGGGGUAA